rnacentral:rRNA from 1 species
GCAAGUCGUGGGGCAGCAGGACUGUAGCAAUACAGUUGCUGGCGACCGGCAAACGGGUGCGGAACACGUACGCAACUUACCCUGAACUGGGGGAUAGCCCGGGGAAACCCGGAUUAAUACCCCGUAAUAUAAUGGAGUGGCAUCACUUUAUUAUUAAAGCUCCGGCGGUUCGGGAUGGGCGGGCGGCUGAUUAGGUAGUUGGUUGGGGUAACGGAUCACCAAGCCUACGAUCAGUAACUGGGGUGAGAGCACGACC